GGAGGUAUUAAUGGAUGAGGCGGCAGCCCUGUGGUUCACUUAAUUAAAAUCACUUGUUCCUGCAAUACUUAUGGGUUAAGCACUCCUCCUGCAAUUCCUGCGCCCAGGGCAGGGCUGGAGGGGGUCCUGGGCUCUCUCUGCAGGCGCUGUUUCACACUUGGGCUCCCCACAUACUCGGGACACGUGGUGCUUCAAGUCUCCGUGUUCACGCCUGCACGUGAGCGCGUUGUGCGCCGGGAGAGGCUUCACAGAAAUGCGUCCAGGCCUGAGCUAAACGUGGCCGCCCCUGGCCCCUCGGGGAGCCUGGCCCCGGCCCAGCGUCUGUCCUUCACUGAACACAGUGGGCCGUGCCCAGAUCGCGGAAUAAGAGGCCACAGGAGAGAUGCAGGACAUCUGACUGGUCCAGCCACCUCCUUGCAUGUGGGGCAGGAGCCCGAGAUGAUCCCCAUUCUACAGACGAGGAAGCCAGGCUCUGAGCGGCCGCGUGACUUGCUGAGAUCCACAGCUGCUCGUGGCAGGGGUGGGACUGCGACCCAGGACUGUGUGACUCCACAGGGCCCCGCCUUCUUCUGCACCCUCCUCAGAGGGAGUAUUCCACCCCGUGACAAUCAGGUUUUCCUCACAUUAAAGAAAGGAAAAUGUAAAUUGUCAGGAGAGUGAUUCUCUAACGAGAUGCUCAAGGGAAUUUCUACAACUUUGAGCAUUAACAGAAAUGCUAAUAGCUAAUAUUAACAUCUGCCCCUCUGUUGUAAGCACUUUGCUGGGAUUCACUGUUUAAACUUUAAACAAACUUAUGUGAGAUGAUUUUAUGUGACAUCAUUACCCCUGUUUUACAGAUGUGGAAAUUUCAUCAGGGAGAAAAGAAAUCACUUGCUCCAAAACCCCGCGUCCAGAAUUCUGUUUCCCUGGAAAUAUGCCCAGGAUGGGGAUUUUCACACCUAUGGGAAGUUGCAUUGUUGGGCAUCAUUGUCCUAAUUUUUCACCCUCCCUUCCCUGGAUCCUUGCCCUUUGUCACGUGACUUUGUAGGUUUCCCCUCUAGAUGUGGAGUCUGUUGUCUCGUUGAACUUGGAUUUGGUUAUGUGAUUUGCUCUGCCUGAUGGGAUGUGGGCAGAGGGUUGAAUGUGCUUGCCCAGCUGGUCCUGACCUCCUGUGCUCCGCCUUCUCUAUGAGAAGAAUAUGCCUCUGGUGUCACUGGUCCUGGGAAGAUGAGAGACUCGUGGACAGACCCGGACUCAACCCUUAGCUUGAAGCCAAGUAAAGCCAGGCCCGGCCUGGAUGUGAUGAACCCCAGCAGACGUGUAGACAUGAGAAUAAGAAAUAAAUGCUUAUUGUUGUUUGCAA